GGAAAUAUCUUAUGGCUUCAUAAUCAAUUCAUUUAAGAAUGACAUUAUGAAAGUACACAUUUAGUGACAUUAGAUUCACAUAGUACUAAUCUAUAUAGUGUCCCUCAAAAAAAAAUCUAUAUAGUGAAGAGUUGUAAGUUUGAACAUAAGCCCAAUGUAAAGUAUUCUUGAAUGUAAUUAUUAAUAUAUAGAUACCUAUCUACGCAUCUAUGCGUGCAUACUAGAUAAAACGACGUCGUUUCUGGAUUAAAGACCACCUCCAUCAUAAUAUCACCCAUAAAUUCAGCAUAUACCCAUUUUCUCUCUCCUCUAACCUCUCACCAUCUUCUCUCUCAUCAACUCCAUUUUCUCUCUCCAUUUUUUUUACUGAUAUGGCAAAUCACCGGCGGCGCCACCACCACCUCCAUCAUAAUAUCACCAGCUACAUUGAUUUUCUCGGUGGUUUCUCCCAGCAAUUACCUCCAUCGUCGGCGUUAUGUUUCUCUGUUUCUUCGUCCUUUCCUUUUUCGCUCCUCGUCCUUCUCGCCUCCUUCACCGUGGUCGCACUCGCAGCUAGCUCAUCCUCCUCAUCUGUCAGAUGUUCUUGAGCUUCUGGAGCUGAUUCAUCGUCGGUGAUUUAUAAAUCUCAUAGAUGCGUGAAUUACCCUCAGGAAGCACAAUUUUAGUUUUGUAAAGAAGCCAAAAAAGAUGAUGCAGAGGAUGCAAUGAUCUAAUUUUGUGUUCAGUUGCUUUAUGGAUCGUGCUCAAGUACACAUGGAAGGUAAAUGUUAAUAAGAAUGCGGCAACGAAAGAAAAAAAUUGAUUUAGAAAUGGAAGAUAUGGUAUGAAGAGAUGUUGUAAGAAUUGAAGAAGAAUUGAAGGCAGAAGCAACAAGAAAAGAAUCUGGAAAUAAGGUCGCAGAUAGAAAGAGAAAAGAGACCGAUGUACAUAAAAAGUGAAAGCCGAAAGGAAGGAAGCAGAAAAAUUAGAAGCAUAUAGAAAGAGAAAAUUGGAAGUAGAAGUAAAUAAAUGAAAUGUUCAUUUUUUAAACAUGAGUGUUCAUUUGUGUGUUUUUUAUGUGUGCUUCUUGUAUCUUACUCAAAUGUUCAAAUUUUUUUUUAGGAAAACAAGUGUGAUAAAAAAAGUUUUUUUAAAAGAAAAAUUCAAAAUUCAAAAAAAAAAAAGAGGACACAGAAUAAUGGACUAAAAAAAGAAAGGAAAAAUCACACAAAACUGCUAAAACGAAAUAUUUGUAGCUCAUAUGCAUGCAGAAUUGCAUGCAUAGGUAUGCAGCCAAAAAUUUGGGUUCUUGAAUGGGCAACUCUUUAUUUAUUGGGCCUGAUUGGAAGUUAGUAAUAGCCAUAGGCCCAUGAGACUGAUAAGAGAAUACUAAAAUAAGCUAGGCCCAUUCCAACUUCCAAGUUAGAAUCAUUACAGGGAUUUCCACUAAUAUAAAAGUUGUGGUUCUCGCGGUAUCACGAUAUGUAUAUCGAGAAGCUAAUCGUGCUGCUGAUUACGUUGCAUCAAUUUCUCAUCAUAUUACAAGACACCUAGAUAUUGAUCCUUUUAUAGACAAUAAAUUUUCUUAUUUUAUUUCCUUAGAUAAGUUAGGUUUUAGUCUUGUAUAUGUAUCUCUAUUAUAUACCUUUUUUUCCCCGAAAAGUUGUAAUGUCUUAUAUUGAUAAUUUUUUCAUCAUUACAUUCAAAUCUCUAUGUAGAUGUCGUAGAUUUGGUGAAAGAAAACUUUUAUUUUAUUCAAUUAUUAUUAUUUAUUAGAUUUAAAUCUCUAUGUAGAUGUCGUAGAUUUGGUGAAA